UACGUAGGGGCUAGCGUUGUCCGGAAUCAUUGGGCGUAAAGAGCGUGUAGGCGGCCCGGUAAGUCCGCUGUAAAAGUCAAAGGCUCAACCUUUGAAUGUCAGUGGAUACUGCCGGGCUAGAGUCCGGAAGAGGCGAGUGGAACUCCUGGUGUAGCGGUGAAAUGCGCAGAUAUCAGGAAGAACACCCGUGGCGAAGGCGGUUCUCUGGACGGUACUGACGCUGAGACGCGAAGCGUGGGAGCGAACAGG
rnacentral:rRNA from 1 species